GGUCCCGAUGACCGGAAGGAAUCCCUUCCGGUCAUCGAGACGUUUCAAAUUUCGAUGAACGGAAGGAAUCCCUUCCGGUCAUCGAGACC
rnacentral:miRNA from 1 species